rnacentral:rRNA from 1 species
UAGGGAAUAUUGGACAAUGGGUGAGAGCCUGAUCCAGCCAUGCCGCGUGCAGGAAGAAGGCGUUAUGCGUUGUAAACUGCUUUUUGCCAGGGGAUAAAAAGACCGUGCGCGGUUAAUUGAAGGUACCUGGUGAAUAAGCCACGGCUAACUACGUGCCAGCAGCCGCGGUAAUACGUAGGUGGCAAGCGUUGUCCGGAUUUAUUGGGUUUAAAGGGUGCGUAGGUGGCCCUGUAAGUCAGUGGUGAAAUAUCUCAGCUUAACUGAGAGGGUGCCAUUGAUACUGCAGGGCUUGAGUACAGAUGAGGUAGGCGGAAUUGACGGUGUAGCGGUGAAAUGCAUAGAUAUCGUCAAGAACACCGAUAGCGAAGGCAGCUUACCAAGCUGUAACUGACACUGAGGCACGAAAGUGUGGGGAUCAAACAGGAUUAGAUACCCGUGUAGUCCCUGAGCGGGCUGGCAAGGCGCAU